AUGCCCGAAGGAGAAAAAAGAUUGGAUAGCCGCUAUGACAUCUGCCUUAACUAUAUUCCAAGCCUUCUUAAAGAAGCCAUCACUAAAACCAUCCGGACCGGAAGCCUUGUUGUCCUUCAAAGAGAACAUCACUAUCCUUAUUUCGUCAUCUGAAACAGAUCGACCUAAAUCCUCCCUCUGAAAAUCAGUGAGCCGCUUUGGAAGGACUCGCUGAAGCAUGUCCUCAUCAACACCCGCAACCGCAUGAGAACCUAGAAGAUUCUGAAAGAACUGCACAAUGGUGUCACUGACCUCA
rnacentral:lncRNA from 1 species